GACGAACGCUGGCGGCGCGCUUAACACAUGCAAGUCGAACGGAAAGGCCCUGCUUUUGUGGGGUGCUCGAGUGGCGAACGGGUGAGUAACACGUGAGUAACCUGCCCUUGACUUUGGGAUAACUUCAGGAAACUGGGGCUAAUACCGGAUAGGAGCUCCUUCUGCAUGGUGGGGGUUGGAAAGUUUCGGCGGUUGGGGAUGGACUCGCGGCUUAUCAGCUUGUUGGUGGGGUAGUGGCUUACCAAGGCUUUGACGGGUAGCCGGCCUGAGAGGGUGACCGGCCACAUUGGGACUGAGAUACGGCCCAGACUCCUACGGGAGGCAGCAGUGGGGAAUAUUGCACAAUGGGCGGAAGCCUGAUGCAGCAACGCCGCGUGCGGGAUGACGGCCUUCGGGUUGUAAACCGCUUUCGCCUGUGACGAAGCGUGAGUGACGGUAAUGGGUAAAGAAGCACCGGCUAACUACGUG
rnacentral:rRNA from 1 species